GACGAACGCUGGCGGCGUGCUUAACACAUGCAAGUCGAGCGGUAAGGCCCUUUCGGGGGUACGACGAGCGGCGAACGGUGAGUAACACGUGGGUGACCUGCCCUCAGCUCUGGGAUAAAGCCUCGGGAAACCGGGUCUAAUACCGGACUAUGACUCCAUGACGCAUGUUGUGGGGUGGAAAGCCUUGUGCGGCUGAGGAUGGGCCCGCGGCCUAUCAGCUUGUUGGUGGGGUGAUGGCCUACCAAGGCGACGACGGGUAGCCGGCCUGAGAGGGCGACCGGCCACACUGGGACUGAGACACGGCCCAGACUCCUACGGGAGGCAGCAGUGGGGAAUCUUGCGCAAUGGGCGAAAGCCUGACGCAGCGACGCCGCGUGAGGGAUGACGGCCUGUG
rnacentral:rRNA from 1 species